CCCUUAGAUGUUCGGGGCCGCACGCGCGCUACACUGAUGCAUUCAACGAGUUUCUUCCUGGUCCGAGAGGAAUGGGUAACCUUUUGAAAGUGCAUCGUGAUAGGGAUAGACUAUUGCAAUUAUUGGUCUUCAACGAGGAAUUCCUAGUAGACGUAGUUCAUCAGACUGCAUCGAUUACGUCUCUGCCCUUUGUACACACCGCCCGUCGCUCCUACCGAUUGAAUGCUCAGGUGAGCCAUUCGGACUUUCAUCAUGCUGGUUUCCAGUUUUGAUGAAGGAAAGUCUUGCGAACCUUAUCAUUUAGAGGAAGGAGAAGUCGUAACA
rnacentral:rRNA from 1 species